CGAGUCUAAUUACUGCAAUCAUUAUCUUUUUAAAAGUCGGAUAACAUCAGUCUCCAUAUGCAUAGGUAAACAUGUCAACUAAAUAUUGAUGGACACAUGCUUAACAAAAACAGUUCCCUAGGCUAGUUGCCAAACAUACAAAAUAAUAUUGACUUCUGUUUUAAUAUAAAAGCAUGAUAGACGCUUUCAAAUUAUAACACGAAAAAUGGCAGUUCGACAACUUAUUGUCGGCUUCUUAUUUGUGUCCAGCCUUCUUCUUGCUUUUGCAUCUGAGCCGACGUACGAGGAUAAAGUUGACCAGACAAUAAGAGAGGUUA
rnacentral:lncRNA from 1 species